AGAUGAGGGUGACAAUGAAGAAACAGCUGACGAGCGCAGAACAGAUGAAAUAGCUGACACACUGUUUGGAAAUGGAAGAAGGUGAAUACUCUCUUCAACGGCCUUGAUCAUGGUUUACCAGCUGUGAAGAACCAAGUAUGUUACCGGGCACUGUUUCUGCGUAGCUUCCGUGCUGGAGGACAGUGAAGGAAGAGUGUUAAUCGUAGACAGCAAACAAUCUACUGCAACUUCGCAAUUCUCGUCUCAUUUGAAAUUAUUGUUUGCCUUCUAUACUGACAAACCUGUUUACAAAGCCUCCGGCUUGAGUAAAAUAAAUUCUGAUACACUA